rnacentral:rRNA from 1 species
UACGUAGGGUGCGAGCGUUAAUCGGAAUUACUGGGCGUAAAGCGUGCGCAGGCGGUUUUGUAAGCCAGAUGUGAAAUCCCCGGGCUUAACCUGGGAAUGGCAUUUGGGACUGCAAGGCUCGAGUGCGGCAGAGGAGACUGGAAUUCCUGGUGUAGCGGUGAAAUGCGCAGAUAUCAGGAGGAACACCGGUGGCGAAGGCGGAUCUCUGGGCCGAUACUGACGCUGAGGAGCGAAAGCGUGGGGAGCGAACAGG